rnacentral:rRNA from 1 species
UACGUAGGGUGCAAGCGUUGUCCGGAAUUAUUGGGCGUAAAGAGCUCGUAGGCGGUCUGUCACGUCGGCUGUGAAAACGCGAGGCUCAACCUCGCGCCUGCAGUCGAUACGGGCAGACUAGAGUUCGGUAGGGGAGACUGGAAUUCCUGGUGUAGCGGUGAAAUGCGCAGAUAUCAGGAGGAACACCGGUGGCGAAGGCGGGUCUCUGGGCCGAAACUGACGCUGAGGAGCGAAAGCGUGGGGAGCGAACAGG